rnacentral:rRNA from 1 species
UACGUAGGGGGCAAGCGUUGUCCGGAAUCAUUGGGCGUAAAGAGCGUGUAGGCGGCCUUAUAAGUCGGCUGUGAAAGUCAAGGGCUCAACCCUUGAAUGCCGGCCGAUACUGUGAGGCUAGAGUCCGGAAGAGGCGAGUGGAAUUCCCGGUGUAGCGGUGAAAUGCGCAGAUAUCAGGAGGAACACCGAUGGCGAAGGCAGCUCGCUGGGACGGUACUGACGCUGAGACGCGAAAGCGUGGGGAGCGAACAGG